GCAGCCGGUCUGAGCUGACCCACAGACUCGUAAAAACCAACAGGACCUCUCAUCACCCUCGCCUGGGAUACCCAAACUCUUGGACCAAAGGUGCAAGGUCUUGCAUAUCAAGGAUCCUGCUGCUUUCUUGGGGACCAAGAAAUUGGGUUUUUGUCUCUACACUUACUCUGGCAAUCCAUGAGGUUUAAUGAAUUACAUGGGGACACGGGACAUGUAAAAACAGAGGCAGGCACUCAGUCUCGGACCAGUCAACCACGGAGUUGGAAUUCAGAGCUGGGCUAUACCAACAUGACACCCUUUAUCUUGGGACAGCAUCAUGAAAUCUAG
rnacentral:lncRNA from 1 species